rnacentral:rRNA from 1 species
GCUACAGAAACUCAAAGGAAUUGACGGGGGCCCGCACAAGCGGAGGAGCAUGUGGUUUAAUUCGAUGAUACGCGAGGAACCUUACCUGGGCUCGAACGUAAGAUGACUGUAGGUGAAAGCUUACAUCUCUUCGGAGCAUUUUACGAGGUGCUGCAUGGUUGUCGUCAGCUCGUGCCGUGAGGUGUCGGGUUAAGUCCCAUAACGAGCGCAACCCUACCUUUAGUUGCCAUCAGGUAAUGCUGGGGACUCUAAAGGAACUGCCUACGCAAGUAGUGAGGAAGGCGGGGAUGACGUCAAAUCAGCACGGCCCUUACGUCCAGGGCUACACACGUGCUACAAUGGCCGAUACAGAGGGCAGCUACCUGGUGACAGGAUGCAAAUCUCCAAAGUCGGUCUCAGUUCGGAUCGGAGUCUGCAACCCGACUCCGUGAAGUUGGAUUCGCUAGUAAUCGCGCAUCAGCCAUGGCGCGGUGAAUACGUUCCCGGGCCUU